rnacentral:misc_RNA from 1 species
UUAAGUUCAGCGGGUAUCCCUACCUGAUCCGAGGUCAACCUGAAAAAAUUGGGGGUUGCUGGCAAGCACGCACCCGGGUCUCCGAAGCGAGAAGAAUUACUACGCUUGAAGCCGAAUGGCGCCGCCACUGAUUUUAAGGCCUGCCGGAACCGGCGGGGCCCAAUACCAAGCAGAGCUUGAGGGUUGUAAUGACGCUCGAA